GUUAAGCGACUAAGCGUACACGGUGGAUGCCCUGGCAGUCAGAGGCGAUGAAGGACGUGCUAAUCUGCGAUAAGCGUCGGUAAGGUGAUAUGAACCGUUAUAACCGGCGAUUUCCGAAUGGGGAAACCCAGUGUGUUUCGACACACUAUCAUUAACUGAAUCCAUAGGUUAAUGAGGCGAACCGGGGGAACUGAAACAUCUAAGUACCCCGAGGAAAAGAAAUCAACCGAGAUUCCCCCAGUAGCGGCGAGCGAACGGGGAGCAGCCCAGAGCCUGAAUCAGUGUGUGUGUUAGUGGAAGCGUCUGGAAAGGCGCGCGAUACAGGGUGACAGCCCCGUACACAAAAAUGCACAUGCUGUGAGCUCGAUGAGUAGGGCGGGACACGUGGUAUCCUGUCUGAAUAUGGGGGGACCAUCCUCCAAGGCUAAAUACUCCUGACUGACCGAUAGUGAACCAGUACCGUGAGGGAAAGGCGAAAAGAACCCCGGCGAGGGGAGUGAAAAAGAACCUGAAACCGUGUACGUACAAGCAGUGGGAGCA
rnacentral:rRNA from 1 species